rnacentral:rRNA from 1 species
AUACGUAGGGGGCGAACGUUGUCCGGAAUUACUGGGCGUAAAGCGCGCGUAGGCGGUCAAUUAAGUCAGGUGUGAAAGGCCCGGGCUCAACCCGGGUAUUGCACUUGAAACUGAAUGACUUGAGGACAGGAGAGGGAAGUGGAAUUCCUAGUGUAGCGGUGAAAUGCGUAGAUAUUAGGAAGAACACCAGUGGCGAAGGCGACUUCCUGGACUGUAACUGACGUUGAGGUGCGAAAGCGUGGGUAGCGAACAGGAUUAGAUACCCUGGUAGUCCACGCCGUAAACGAUGGAUACUAGGUGUAGGAGGUUUCAAUACCAUCUGUGCCGUAGUUAACGCAAUAAGUAUCCCGCCUGGGGAGUACGACCGCAAGGUUGAA